CAACUCAUGAGGAUCCAAAGUCCCAUUAUUCCUAUUGUAAUUCUUCCAAUGAAUAGGUAAUGUCGUGAAGCAUACAGGAAGAGCACCAACAUAGCAACUUGCUGAAUUAUUCAGGGAGCUCUGCUUUGGCAGGAAGGAGCAGCAUUCCCUUCAUGUCCUUUUUCAUUUCAGUAAACUGAAGCUCUUGACUUUGCCUGUUCCACAAUUAGCUCCCUGGCAAUGUUCAGUACCUCAUUACCAUGAAAGCAAGCAAGCAAAAACCUACUCGUUAAAAAGCAAUGGGUUACCGUCAUCUUUCUGAUAGAAGUGAACUCUCAUCACCCUUAGUACAGUGUAACAUAAAACCACUUCUGCUCUCUAUUCUGCAAACAGACUUUUAAUGAGGGAGGGAGUUAAACUGCUUGUUUCCCCCAGCCAAGAUCAAUCCACUGGCCUCUCCUACCUGCCCUUCUCCUGGGCACCAUUCGGUGGAUGUGGGUGCAGGUCUUACAUCACAGCACCCAGUGUGAGAACUCAAGUCUAGCACUAAGGUUUGGGAAAAGGCUCAGCAGCAUACAGGGAGGAUGUGGCCCUGAAACUGAAGAGAAUCUCUGUCCUCUCUUCCAUGUGCCAGGCUCUACUGCACCUACUUUGAAUAGGACACCAACACAUAUCUGUGGUACACAUCCUGCCCAGCUAGCUGCCUGACCUUUCCCUGAUAAGCCUGGCUUUCUGAUACCUGCAGACCUGGCUGGCACUGAGCAAGUGUCCUCAUGCAGACGCUGGCCUUCUAAGAGGUUCCAAUGGUAUCCGGCACACAGAGGCUUCUGUGCAUAUUGCUCAAUUGCACCUUCCCAAACACAGCUGGUGCCACCGAUAAGCUACACGUGACAACCAGAGUGGGAGCACAGCUACAAGCAACCAGUCUGUGCAGGGACUGCCCGAGACAGAGGUCUGAAGACACCAUAUGAGAUUAAGAGGGAUAUAAGGAAUGAUCAAAACAUCUGAUGAAUGCUACUUCUUGAUGACCAUCAAUGAAAGGACAGGCAGACCGAUAAAAACAUCACAGUGUGUCCUCAUCCACCUUAUUUACCAGAGCUGAUGCUGCUCAACUUCUGGAUCGUCCCCAAAGUCAAAAUGACCAUGAAAAAUAGACAUUCUGAAUCAGCUCGGAACAUUGAGGGAGCUACAACGGGCAACUAAAGAUACUCACAAAAAAGGACUUCCAGAACUGCUCCAGAAAGUGGUGAGAAAGUUGGGGCUCAGGAUUCAAGUUCCGAGGACUGAGGAACUCUAGACCUAGGCUGCAGCAUCUCCUCCACUACACUUGGAACCAUGGGACAUCAAGGCCACUGAGGAGCUGCUGGUGCUGUGAGCUGUCCUGGAUUCUUUGCCCUGCCAUCUCUCCGUUCUGCAGUCCCUGCCUCUUGGGAUGUGCCCAGGAAGGGUGACAGGAGGGGACUGCCUCUUACUGCCUGGACUUGUUCACUACACACAGCUCUGAGGCAUUGCAUGUAUGGAGUCCUCAGGCCUCUACACCAUACAAAAAUGGACAGAAGUCAUGGGACAUUCCCAGGGGCACAUGGGCAGCUCCUGAGGGACCCUGAUGUGAAGCCAGGCAGUGUGGCCUUGGAGAUGUGAUCUUGAUCACUACUUACGUCACUGCCUUCCUUCCCCUGGCUUAAAGAAACAGUGUCUACCAUCAUGGCAUGACCUGAAAAGUCCUCAAGAAAGCACAUGUGGACAGAGACAAGUCUCAUGAGAGUAUUAUGCCAUACAGCAGAAUUGCCCUCUCCACAUGAAGUCAUCAGUGGCACCCCUGAAGCAGUCAUCCGCAUGGCUUCUCAUACACCCACACCGACCCCUGGCCUCUGAUGUCCCUCUGGGUAACCUUGGGACUCCACAAACAUAGAGGGGACCUACAAGACUAGUGUCCAUUUGUAACAGGAAAUGUGGGGCUCUUGGUCCCAGGGCCUUGACAUCCUAGGGUUGACGGUAUCAGAGUCAAAAUAUGAACACAUCAUCUGCAAAAUCUCAAGAAAGACAGGGGUUCAGUUGAGUAUGGUCAUGCACACUGGGAGGCUAAGGCAGGAGGACCAUGGGUAUCAGCCAGCCUGGGCAACUUCUCAACUCAAAAUUAACAAGCAGAAACAGAGGGAGAAGGAGAGAAAGAGAGGAGAGAGAGAGAGGAGAGAGAGAGCGAGAGAGAGAGAGAGAGAGAGAGAGAGAGAGAGAGAGAAUAGAGAGGAGGAGAAGGAAAAGAAGAAAAGAGGAGGAGAAAGAGAAGGAGGAAAAGAAGCUCGAGGAUGUAGCUUAGUCCAAAGCCUUGGAUUCAAUCCCAGUACUGGAAAAAAAUAAGAGAGAGGGCAGACGUUCAUGGAUAACCAGCAACAUUAAGAAAAAAAUGAAACAACGGUCCCUUUUUUUCAGGAAGUUUGCUGUAUUUAGUCAUUUAUAGGAAAAUUCAGAGUGUCCAGAAGAAAACAGCAAUGUGUAGCAUUUUCCAUGAUCAGCUAGUUUUCCCCAAAAUAAAUUCAUGCAGCUUUAGCUGACUUCUA